rnacentral:rRNA from 1 species
AUUGAACGCUGGCGGCAUGCCUUACACAUGCAAGUCGAACGGCAGCACGGGAGCAAUCCUGGUGGCGAGUGGCGAACGGGUGAGUAAAGUAUCGGAACGUGCCCAGUCGUGGGGGAUAACGUAGCGAAAGCUACGCUAAUACCGCAUACGAUCUAUGGAUGAAAGCGGGGGAUCGCAAGACCUCGCGCGAAUGGAGCGGCCGAUAUCAGAUUAGGUAGUUGGUGGGGUAAAGGCUCACCAAGCCGACGAUCUGUAGCUGGUCUGAGAGGAUGACCAGCCACACUGGGACUGAGACACGGCCCAGACUCCUACGGGAGGCAGCAGUGGGGAAUUUUGGACAAUGGGCGAAAGCCUGAUCCAGCCAUGCCGCGUGCAGGAUGAAGGCCUUCGGGUUGUAAACUGCUUUUGUACGGAACGAAAAGGUUUGGGCUAAUAAGCUGAGCUCAUGACGGUACCGUAAGAAUAAGCACCGGCUAACUACGUGCCAGCCGCCGCAGUAA